CCUACGGGGGACUGCAGUGGGGAAUAUUGGACAAUGGGGGGAACCCUGAUCCAGCCAUGCCGCGUGUGUGAAGAAGGCCCUCGGGUUGUAAAGCACUUUCAGUGAGGAAGAACGCCUGGUGGUUAAUACCCAUCAGGAAAGACAUCACUCACAGAAGAAGCACCGGCUAACUCCGUGCCAGCAGCCGCGGUAAUACGGAGGGUGCGAGCGUUAAUCGGAAUUACUGGGCGUAAAGCGCGCGUAGGUGGCUUGAUAAGCCGGUUGUGAAAGCCCCGGGCUCAACCUGGGAACGGCAUCCGGAACUGUCAAGCUAGAGUGCAGGAGAGGAAGGUAGAAUUCCCGGUGUAGCGGUGAAAUGCGUAGAGAUCGGGAGGAAUACCAGUGGCGAAGGCGGCCUUCUGGACUGACACUGACACUGAGGUGCGAAAGCGUGGGUAGCAAACAGGAUUAGAUACCCCUGUAGUC
rnacentral:rRNA from 1 species